CUCUAUGAGUGCCUUUUGUACUAUGUGUUAGUUUUAAGUGUAAUUACCCAUUAAGUGAAGAAAUGGAUGCAGCCCUGUCUGUGUUAAAUGCAAAAAGGGAUGAUGCGAGAAGCAGAAAAAUGAAAGAAACCCUAAAUGGUAUCAGCGAAUCCUCACUGUAAACACUUGUGUCAGGACAGGGGCAAAAUUAGUUAUAGCCCCGUAGGAUAAAUCAAAGAAUUGAUAAUCACAAACAUAAUAUUCACUGUAAAAAUCAACUGGUCAAAGGUACUAUAAAAAACAGAAAUGUAAAUCAGUACUAAAAUGUAAAUCAGUGGUUAGUAAUCAUGUUCAUGUUAAUGUACCCAUUGUCAGGUACUGGGUUUGUGGGUUCACAUUUCCUCUUCACAGGUUGUUGGAGGGCUAGGGAGACUCAUAAGGAGACUCCAUCCAGCUAAUUACCUCGGCUGCAGAGUCACCCUUCUCACCUGCAGCCCAUCAUGUAAUUAGACGGGAGGAAUAAAGGAGCCAGUGAACCAGCCACUCAGCGCCAGAUUGUUUGCCUUAGUGGUAACGUCCAGCCACCUGAAUCUGUUCCUGUUUUAUUCUAGUCUGUUCCCUGAAACCUCUGUCUGUCAUCACAGGAUUCCUAGAACCCGUUCUGGAUUACACCUUUGUGUGGAAGUCUCAUACCAGCCUCUGCAGCUCCCGGAUCUCCUGAACCACGGCUGAAUCCUCCCUGGCUCUGUUCUCCUCCCGUGCGUCUCCUGUUCACCCUCCAACAACCCGCCUCACUUCUCCGAACCUCCACAUCUACCCACAGCCCCGGUACCGGCUCACCUCUCCCACGCUCCGCUACAACCAAAUCUCAUGAUCCAAUCUCUAGCUCCGGAACCAGCCCAUCCCUGCCAGCCUCCGCUCACCUCUAAUAAACUAUUUUUUACUACA